UAGGGAAUCUUCCGCAAUGGACGCAAGUCUGACGGAGCAACGCCGCGUGAGUGAAGAAGGAUUUCGGUUCGUAAAACUCUGUUGUUAGAGAAGAACAGCGCAUAGAGUAACUGUUAUGCGUGUGACGGUAUCUAACCAGAAAGCCACGGCUAACUACGUGCCAGCAGCCGCGGUAAUACGUAGGUGGCAAGCGUUGUCCGGAUUUAUUGGGCGUAAAGCGAGCGCAGGCGGUCAAUUAAGUCUGAUGUGAAAGCCCCCGGCUCAACCGGGGAGGGUCAUUGGAAACUGGUUGACUUGAGUGCAGAAGAGGAGAGUGGAAUUCCAUGGGUAGCGGUGAAAUGCGUAGGUAUAUGGAGGAACACCAGUGGCGAAGGCGACUCUCUGGUCUGUAACUGACGCUGAAGCUCGAAAACGUGGGUAGCAAACAGG
rnacentral:rRNA from 1 species